rnacentral:rRNA from 1 species
CAGUCGCCGCGGUAAUACGAAGGGGGCUAGCGUUGCUCGGAAUGACUGGGCGUAAAGGGCGCGUAGGCGGAUUGCGCAGUCAGAUGUGAAAUUCCUGGGCUUAACCUGGGGGCUGCAUUUGAGACGCGUAGUCUAGAGUGUGAAAGAGGGUCGUGGAAUUCCCAGUGUAGAGGUGAAAUUCGUAGAUAUUGGGAAGAACACCGGUGGCGAAGGCGGCGACCUGGUUCAUGACUGACGCUGAGGCGCGAAAGCGUGGGGAGCAAACAGGAUUAGAUACCCGUGUAGUCCCUGUCUCUUAACA